AGACCUACGGGGGGCAGCAGUGGGGGAUAUUGCACAAUGGGGGGAACCCUGAUGCAGCGACGCCGCGUGGGUGAAGAAGUAUUUCGGUAUGUAAAGCCCUAUCGGCAGGGAAGAAAUUGGACGGUACCUGACUAAGAAGCCCCGGCUAACUACGUGCCAGCAGCCGCGGUAAUACGUAGGGGGCAAGCGUUAUCCGGAUUCACUGGGUGUAAAGGGAGCGUAGACGGCCAUGCAAGCCUGGAGUGAAAGGCCGGGGCCCAACCCCGGGACUGCUCUGGGGAAUGUGCGGCUGG
rnacentral:rRNA from 1 species